rnacentral:sRNA from 1 species
CCAACUUAAAGAACUUGACAACUCAGGGCUCCAAAAUAAGUAUGAGAGACCAUAGACAAGAAAUCAACCACUACCCACAAUGCCUUUCAAGUCUUUUGAAUCGUCACACACUCCUAAUAAGCUACACAAGACCAGGGGUAAAAGUCUGUGCCUGCGUGUAAUCGACAGAAGAAUAGCUCGCAAGUUUAGUGGUGAAUGUCUUGCUUGCCAGACAAGAACCGAAAAAUAAUAAAUAAAUGCAACUUUUUUAUUUACAUUUUUUUGUAAAUUAAUUUCUUUUAUGUUUGACACAUAGCCAGC